rnacentral:rRNA from 1 species
CCUUUGUACACACCGCCCGUCGCUACUACCGAUUGAAUGGCUCAGUGAGGCUUUCGGAUUGGCCCAGAGAGGUCGGCAACGACCACUCAGGGCCGAGAAGUCAUCCAAACUCGGUCAUUUAGAGG